rnacentral:lncRNA from 1 species
CCCGUCUCGCACGGACUGCCGCCACCGCCUCAUGCCAUCGCCACCUCCGGACAGCAGCGGCAGAAGCACACCACUAGCACGGCAGCAGCGCAGAAACAACCGCUACACCGCUGCUUCAUCAUCCGUCUUCCCUUCCACCGAGCUCCAUCUCCCCCUCCCCGAGCUCACGCACUGAAUGCAUCCCUCUCAAGCUCGCCGCCUCCGUCGCUCCGACUCAUGUCGUUCAACCACCGCAACUCCAGAUUCUCAUUAAAAAAUGGUUCUUUGUGAAGACGUCAAUGGCGUGCGAAAAUAAAAAAUAAGAAGACAUGAGAGAAAAUAAAAUAUGCAGAGA